rnacentral:lncRNA from 10 species
GAGGGAAAAACUGAGUCCCGAGAGCUUAAGGAGUCUACCUUAGGUCACACAGCUGUAUGCAGAGAGGCUGGGACUGUCUCCGUGACAUUUCCUGCAUGUGCCUUUCCGGACUCCCAGCAGCCUGGUCUGAGACCACGGAGGGAGCAGGCAACAGCCGACUUGAGAAGCACGGAAGAGAUGAUGGAAUCAGCACCUGCCCAUGAUGCAGCUUGCCUGGACCAGGCAUGCAUCUCAGAAACACGUGAAAUGGGAGUUUUGAUAAUGGCUGCUAUCAAGCUGAAGCCUCAGAACCAGCUGAACAUUUCAGGGACUCCUGUUCACAGCUUCUUCGAAUCCAGACUCUCUCAUUAACCAAUUUGCAGCUUAAAAGGAAUGCGUACAGCAUAAUAUGGUCAUUUAAAAUUUAAGCAGUCACUUCUUAGCAUUUAAAAAUGUAAUACAUAUCCUGCCUUUAAAAUGUCAGCAUAAGAUUGCCAACUACAAUUUCAUGGGAGGGAUUCUCCAUUUUAGAUUAUGUUCUCUCUGCUUUCUUUUUUUAGUGUGAAAAUGUCCUUUCUUUUCAGAAAUAACAGUGACAUACAUGGUAGCUUAAGGUAGUGUUUGUUUUUUUCCUUCUUCCUCAGUUAGUAAAAAAAAUUUGACAUUAUGUGGAUCCCACCAUUUAAAAGCCAUUUUCCCAAGAAUCCCAAAGUCUAAGAUGGUGGAUCAAAUCGAACCUCUUUGCUUUUCUUUUACUUUCUUUUUAUUUUUUUGAGACAGGGUCUCUGGUUUUCUGUCACCCAGGCUGAAGUGCAGUAGCACAAUCAUGGCUCACUGCAACCUCUGCCUCCUGGGCUCAAGCCAUCCUCCCACCUCAGCCUCCCAAGUAGCUGGGACUACAGGUGUGCACCACCACACCCAGCUAAUUUUUUGUAGAGACAGGGUUUCAUCAUGUUGCCCAGGCUAGUCUCGAACUUCUGAACUCAAGCAAUUCAUUUACCCUGGCCUCCCAAAGUGCUGGAAUUACAAGUGUGAGCCACCACACCCGGCCCCUUUUUGCUUUUCUGAUGGAGAGAUGGAGGCCUAGAAAGGGAAGUGACUGCUCAUGGACACACAGUGACAGAGCUGGGCUUCCCACACACAUCCUCUGACUUCCAGCUCCACCUCCCAUACCUCUCCCAGGUGGCCUCUCUACCUUCCUCAGGUGCCUGUUCUGUCCCAGAAGGUUUCUGUUCUCCCAAGAAAUAGGCCAUUGACAAGAGGGUCCCUGGUUGGGCACCAGAGAGUCAUGCUAUGAGCUGUUUUGGGGGCCCUCAGGAUUGCUUAGCAAAUGGAAGGACUUUGUAAGUGGAACUUGGGCUGGCACUUUAGUAACUAAAUCCCCUAUGUGGGACCCAGAUGAAGGCACCCUACUCUACACUCUGCUUGAUGGUGAAUGACAUGAUAUUGCAG